GACGAACGCUGGCGGCGUGCUUAACACAUGCAAGUCGAACGGAAAGGCCCCUUUGGGGGUACUCGAGUGGCGAACGGGUGAGUAACACGUGAGUAACCUGCCCUUGACUUCGGGAUAACUUCAGGAAACUGGGGCUAAUACCGGAUAGGAGUCCUUGCUGCAUGGUGGGGGUUGGAAAGCUUCGGCGGUUUUGGAUGGACUCGCGGCUUAUCAGCUUGUUGGUGGGGUAGUGGCUUACCAAGGCUUUGACGGGUAGCCGGCCUGAGAGGGCGACCGGCCACAUUGGGACUGAGAUACGGCCCAGACUCCUACGGGAGGCAGCAGUGGGGAAUAUUGCACAAUGGGCGGAAGCCUGAUGCAGCAACGCCGCGUGCGGGAUGACGGCCUUCGGGUUGUAAACCGCUUUCAGCAGGGGCGAAGCUUGUGGUGACGGUACCUGCAGAAGAAGCACCGGCUAACUACGUG
rnacentral:rRNA from 1 species